rnacentral:rRNA from 1 species
GAUGAACGCUGGCGGCGUGCCUAAUACAUGCAAGUCGAGCGAACGGACGAGAAGCUUGCUUCUCUGAUGUUAGCGGCGGACGGGUGAGUAACACGUGGAUAACCUACCUAUAAGACUGGGAUAACUUCGGGAAACCGUAGCUAAUACCGGAUAAUAUUUUGAACCGCAUGGUUCAAAAGUGAAAGACGGUCUUGCUGUCACUUAUAGAUGGAUCCGCGCUGCAUUAGCUAGUUGGUAAGGUAACGGCUUACCAAGGCAACGAUGCAUAGCCGACCUGAGAGGGUGAUCGGCCACACUGGAACUGAGACACGGUCCAGACUCCUACGGGAGGCAGCAGUAGGGAAUCUUCCGCAAUGGGCGAAAGCCUGACGGAGCAACGCCGCGUGAGUGAUGAAGGUCUUCGGAUCGUAAAACUCUGUUAUUAGGGAAGAACAUAUGUGUAAGUAACUGUGCACAUCUUGACGGUACCUAAUCAGAAAGCCACGGCUAACUACGUGCCAGCAGCCGCGGUAAUACGUAGGUGGCAAGCGUUAUCCGGAAUUAUUGGGCGUAAAGCGCGCGUAGGCGGUUUUUUAAGUCUGAUGUGAAAGCCCACGGCUCAACCGUGGAGGGUCAUUGGAAACUGGAAAACUUGAGUGCAGAAGAGGAAAGUGGAAUUCCAUGUGUAGCGGUGAAAUGCGCAGAGAUAUGGAGGAACACCAGUGGCGAAGGCGACUUUCUGGUCUGUAACUGACGCUGAUGUGCGAAAGCGUGGGGAUCAAACAGGAUUAGAUACCCUGGUAGUCCACGCCGUAAACGAUGAGUGCUAAGUGUUAGGGGGUUUCCGCCCCUUAGUGCUGCAGCUAACGCAUUAAGCACUCCGCCUGGGGAGUACGACCGCAAGGUUGAAACUCAAAGGAAUUGACGGGGACCCGCACAAGCGGUGGAGCAUGUGGUUUAAUUCGAAGCAACGCGAAGAACCUUACCAAAUCUUGACAUCCUUUGACAACUCUAGAGAUAGAGCCUUCCCCUUCGGGGGACAAAGUGACAGGUGGUGCAUGGUUGUCGUCAGCUCGUGUCGUGAGAUGUUGGGUUAAGUCCCGCAACGAGCGCAACCCUUAAGCUUAGUUGCCAUCAUUAAGUUGGGCACUCUAAGUUGACCGCCGGUGACAAACCGGAGGAAGGUGGGGAUGACGUCAAAUCAUCAUGCCCCUUAUGAUUUGGGCUACACACGUGCUACAAUGGACAAUACAAAGGGCAGCGAAACCGCGAGGUCAAGCAAAUCCCAUAAAGUUGUUCUCAGUUCGGAUUGUAGUCUGCAACUCGACUACAUGAAGCUGGAAUCGCUAGUAAUCGUAGAUCAGCAUGCUACGGUGAAUACGUUCCCGGGUCU